GGAAGGAGUCAUAGUUCCACUAAUCAGGAGGUCUAGAAGGAGUCAUAGUUCCACUAAUCAGGAGGUCUAGAAGGAGUCAUAGUACCACUAAUCAGGAGGUCUAGAAGGAGUCAUAGUUCCACUAAUCAGGAGGUCUAGAAGGAGUCAUAGUUCCACUAAUCAGGAGGUCUAGAAGGAGUCAUAGUUCCACUAAUCAGGAGGUCCAGAAGGAGUCAUAGUUCCACUAAUCAGGAGGUCUAGAAGGAGUCAUAGUUCCACUAAUCAGGAGGUCCAGAAGGAGUCAUAGUUCCACUAAUCAGGAGGUCUAGAAGGAGUCAUAGUUCCACUAAUCAGGAGGUCUAGAAGGAGUCAUAGUUCCACUAAUCAGGAGGUCUAGAAGGAGUCAUAGUUCCACUAAUCAGGAGGUCUAGAAGGAGUCAUAGUUCCACUAAUCAGGAGGUCUAGAAGGAGUCAUAGUUCCACUAAUCAGGAGGUCUAGAAGGAGUCAUAUUUCCACUAAUCAGGAGGUCUAGAAGGAGUCAUAGUUCCACUAAUCAGGAGGUCUAGAAGGAGUCAUAGUUCCACUAAUCAGGAGGUCUAGAAGGAGUCAUAGUUCCACUAAUCAGGAGGUCCAGAAGGAGUCAUAGUUCCACUAAUCAGGAGGUCUAGAAGGAGUCAUAGUUCCACUAAUCAGGAGGUCUAGAAGGAGUCAUAUUUCCACUAAUCAGGAGGUCCAGAAGGAGUCAUAGUUCCACUAAUCAGGAGGUCCAGAAGGAGUCAUAGUUCCACUAAUCAGGAGGUCUAGAAGGAGUCAUAGUUCCACUAAUCAGGAGGUCUAGAAGGAGUCAUAGUUCCACUAAUCAGGAGGUCCAGAAGGAGUCAUAGUUCCACUAAUCAGGAGGUCUAGAAGGAGUCAUAGUUCCACUAAUCAGGAGGUCUAGAAGGAGUCAUAUUUCCACUAAUCAGGAGGUCUAGAAGGAGUCAUAGUUCCACUAAUCAGAGCUCCUAAAAUGACUCCACACACAGUGAACUACUUUCUCCAUCCAGCUGUAAAAACAGACAUCAGCUGCUUCAGACUUGGUUCAGGGGUUCUCCAUGGAAACCGGAGUUAGUGUGAAGCUCAGACAGUGUGAAGGAACCUUCAGAACAUCAA